CCCAAUUCUUCAAAUGCUGAGGUAAUUAACAAAGGGGGAACCGCUGUUUUAAUAACACAUGGAAAUAGUGUAGGUUGAACGGCGUGGACCGCAGUGGGAUUCACACAGUGAUCAGCUGCAUUCCUGUGCUAUUUAUGUACAUGGCAAGUCACAAAUGAGUCUGAACAAUGUGCAGCUGCCAAUGUACUUUAUUUUGAAGGCCAACAGACAACCGGUAGUUCUAUAGCUUUGUUUUUCACCCUUGGCUAAACCAAGCAGGAGCCUACAGGGUGCUGACGUGGUGGUUCUCGAAUAAAGUUGGUCGGGACGGUAAAUUAACCCACCGGAGCCGCCCGGUGCUGUAUAUGGAUCGGUAGGUUGCUGUUUUUGUCGCUAAACCAGGAGAGCUAGCAGCUAGCUACCGCGGCUUUAAGGUCGGGGGAGUAGGAAGAACUGAACUCGGGAUGGGGGGCGUUUUUUUUUGCUGACUUUAGCACAACCAAGUAGCGCCUCCGGACCUGGGUUCUGUUGUCAAGUUUGUAAACGUGAUACACCCAAGCCCGUCCGAUGUUGCCCAACUGAGUGAGCUGCUUCGGAUUUUGGAGAGUUUGUACGUUGAAACGUCCCGGUCGUCGAUGACCGAUGACGUCACAUUUUCCGUCUCAGUGACAGCUUUUGACAGUGACGUGUCUACCUUCCCCCGGUGUGUCACAGAGGAGCAGCCAACUCAAACCAAACGCCUUUGAUUGCUCAACAGCUACGUGAAGGAACCAUGACAGCUGUGGUGGGUAAAGCCUGGGGCUGGGUGCGCUCCUGGGGGUGCAGCAACAGCAACUCCAGCUUCAGCAGUGGAAACUCAGAAGGUGUCAGAGGAUGGACAUCCUGGAUCUGGGGAGGAUGGAAACGCCAAAGUGACCAAAGCAGUUAUGUAGAAGAAUACUGGGAAGCCCAUGAGAAGAUCCAGCCUGUGGAGAUAGAAGAAAUCCAUGCAAGUCAGCAGGAGGGAGAACCAGCAACCAGAUGGUGGAAUAGAUAUCUUCCAGUUCACUUCUUUUAUUGGCCAAGGAGCAUUCAAACUGCAAGGAAACGAGUUCAGGUUCAAAAAGGUGGUGCAGACAUGGAUGGGGACUUCUCUGACUAUGGAACACCACCCCCGUCCCCACCUCCCUCAUCAAAGAUUUCAUCUCCUUUUCGACUGUUUGUUGAUAGCUGCAAUAUGGAAAUCCUUCCAGAGCACUAUGAUAUUUGCUUCAACUUCCUGCGCCACCUGUUUGACUUGUUUGUGGUUGGCUUUCUGUGGACUGUGUCCCCUCCUACCAAGCUGAUCCUAGAGGUUUUUGGAGUCCAAGGCACACUGAGGUUGUGGUUCCAUGGUAUGGCCAUGUUUUUUGUCUCCACUGUAGGGAUGGCAGGGCUGCUCUGGCUGAUCCAGGAGUAUCUCCCUCAGUUUGCGCUCAUCUAUGGUGUCAUGCAGGCCAUGGUCAUCUCAGUGAGCAUGAAACAGAGCAUGCUCUUCAAUGUGAAAGAGGACAAAGAAAGUCCAGAUGAUGAAAGCAAAGAGACAAACAACAAGAAAGACAUUUAGUGAGCAGAGGAGUCCAGCAACUUCACGUCACCUCCAGACUCACACUAGCUGGAUACACUACUAUGGACAAUCUUCUGGCCCAAAGCGAAUACUGACGACAAAAUGUCACUUUAUAGGUAUAUGACCCUGAUGUUAUCACCUGGAUCUUGACCAAAAAAAGACAACAGAACGUUCAACUUCAUGUUUAGAUAACUUGCUGUCUAGUUCCGUUUAUGGUUUUUGACUAGAAUGUUUUAUUCCACAAAGGAAAACAAUAUGCAAGACAAUUUAGCACCACUCCGAGACUUGAUGCUGACUAAACCAAGGAAAAAUGCUGUUGGGAAAUUAACACCAGAGAGGGGCAUUUGGUCAGAGACAAAAGCCAGCGUGCUCUUGGAAUUAUUUCUGGCAUUUGAGGAAUCUCUGUCCUUAUCUGAAGAAACCAGGUUAUGAACUUAAUUGUGACAUCAAAGCUACAAGUUUGAUCCUGAUCUUUUGCUAAGUGAUUUUGAUGCAGAAUGCUUAUUUUUAUCUUUCUAUCAAAGAUUGUAUUCACAGCCUCUGCCAAUAGGUUAAGACAUUUGAGAUUGCUCCGUUUUCAUGUGCAACUCUGUCAAAGCAUUAGACAUAUGAAAAAGUUGCAGUUUAAAGUUCUUAAUGUUGUCCAAGUUAUAGAAGUGGACAGAUACUCAUGUAUUUUGCUUCAUUUUGUAUUUAAUAAUUCACUGUUGCCAUAAUGCUAAUGAUUUUUUGGCAUGUUCUGUAAAACACUCCCAUUUGAGCACCUUUAUUAAUGUCGUAUAUCAGUGGCCACACCACUCUGAAUGGAUUACAUUACAACUACAAAGUUUUUCAGUUUUUUUUCCACAAUCUUGCUAUUUCAGUCCCUCAGACUCAAAGCAUAGGAAACUGAGGAAAAAUGUUUUCUGUGUGAUAAACCUAUUGCUUGAUAAUAUAUUUUGAGCAAUUUUUGGUUAACGAUAUUUCAAGUGCAGGUACAUUAUGUUUGGGUUCUUGUAAGUUAGCACUGUGAAAAAAGUGGCGUACAUCAGCACCAAACAUUAAGAACUUGUGCUAUAUUGAGACAAAAAAAUGGGAUGUUAUAAUGGUCAGUUUCUUGUGAGACAGUUGUAAGAAUACAGAUAUAUGCUUGAGAUUUGGGCACGUUUUGAGUUGAAUAUCAAAGCAAUUUCUAUCUGACUCUAUUACCAAGUCAAUUACAACAGUUUCUGAUUGUCUUGUAACACAGAUGUUCUGCCAUCAAAUUAAGUGUGGGAUCUCAGAGGAAACUUGUUACUUACAUCUUUCUACUUUUGACUUCUCAAUAUUAUAUCAUUUUUCAGCAAGACCCUGGACUCAACAAGGUUAACGUGCAAUUACAGCUGCUGCUUAUUUUGGUUGUUUUUAAAACGGCACUCAAAUGUCUUGAUGAAGAAUGUUCAAAUAGACUCAAGUGUUUGGGUUAAGAAUGUUCAUUUAUUAAUGUAAAUAUAUGCAAAUGUGUGCAAAUCUUGCUUCCUGUCAUACUAUUGGUGGUUUUGAAAAGCAGAUGUCACGUACCGUUGCCACUGUUUGUACACGCACCCACUUCAGAGCUAACCCAUCACUGUUGUUUCAAUAAAACACCCAUGAAA